rnacentral:rRNA from 1 species
UAACAAGGUUUCCGUAGGUGAACCUGCGGAAGGAUCAUUAUCGUAUAACGGAGAUGCCCAGGGCUGUCGCUGACCUUUGUGGGUCGUGCACGCCCAAAAGCAUUCUCUUUUGUGUCCCAUCCUUUCACCCCUUUGUGCAUCACCGCGUGGGCUUCCCUAUCAGGAUUGUUCUGUCCUGAGUGGGGAGUUCACGUCUUUACACAGACACCUUUUCUUUUAUUGCAUGUGUAGAAUGUAUUACUUUUUCUUUGCGAUCAAUACAACUUUCAACAACGGAUCUCUUGGCUCUCGCAUCGAUGAAGAACGCAGCGAAAUGCGAUACGUAAUGUGAAUUGCAGAAUUCAGUGAAUCAUCGAAUCUUUGAACGCACCUUGCGCCCCUUGGUAUUCCGAGGGGCACACCCGUUUGAGUGUCGUGUACAUCCUCAACCUUCUUGGUUUCUUGACUGGGAAGGCUUGGACUUUGGAGGUUUUCCUUGCUGGCUUCCCUUUUGAAGCCAGCUCCUCCUAAAUGAAUUAGUAGGGUCCACAUUGCCGAUCCUUGACGUGAUAAGUAUUGCUUCUACGUCUUGGGUUUCGCACCAUUGUCCUGGAACCUGCUUCCAACAGUCUUCGAAAGAAGACAACGUUCGAGUUGCGUCGCAACUUGACCUCAGUGACCUUGACCUCAAAUCGGGUGAGACUACCCGCUGAACUUAAGCAUAUCAAUAAGCGGAGGAAAAGAAACUAACAAGGAUUCCCCUAGUAACUGCGAGUGAAGCGGGAAAAGCUCAAAUUUAAAAUCUGGUGGCCUUUGGCC